AAACUCUCUCUAAGGAACUCGGCAAAAUGGCCCCGUAACUUCGGGAGAAGGGGUGCCACCGCAAGGUGGUCGCAGUGAAGAGGCCCAGGCGACUGUUUACCAAAAACACAGGUCUCUGCUAAGUCGCGAGACGAUGUAUGGGGGCUGACGCCUGCCCAGUGCCGGAAGGUUAAGGAAGCUGGUCAGCGUAAGUGAAGCUAGCGACUGAAGCCCCGGUGAACGGCGGCCGUAACAAUAACGGUCCUAAGGUAGCGAAAUUCCUUGUCGGGUAAGUUCCGACCCGCACGAAAGGCGUAACGAUCUGGGCGCUGUCUCGGAGAGAGGCUCGGCGAAAUAGAAUUGUCUGUGAAGAUGCGGACUACGUGCACCCGGACAGAAAGACCCUAUGAAGCUUUACUGUAGCUUGGUAUUGUGCUCGGGCUCGGAAUGCGCAGGAUAGGUGGGAGGCUAUGAACCAUUGCUUGUGGGUGAUGGUGAGCCACUGGUGAGAUACCACUCUUUCCGAGCUAGAGUUCUAACAGCCACCCGUUAUCCGGGGGCUGGACAGUAUCAGGUGGGCAGUUUGACUGGGGCGGUCGCCUCCUAAAAGGUAACGGAGGCGCGCAAAGGUUUGCUCAGGCUGGUUGGAAAUCAGCCGACGAGUGUAAAAGCAGAAGCAAGCUUGACUGUGAGACCUACAAGUCGAACAGGGAGGAAACUCGGCUUUAGUGAUCCGACGGUUCUGCGUGGAAGGGCCGUCGCUCAACGGAUAAAAGUUACUCUAGGAUAACAGGCUGAUCUCCCCCAAGAGUUCACAUCGACGGGGAGGUUUGGCACCUCGAUGUCGGCUCAUCGCAACCUGGGGCUGAAGUCGGUCCCAAGGGUUGGGCUGUUCGCCCAUUAAAGCGGUACGCGAGCUGGGUUCAGAACGUCGUGAGACAGUUCGGUCCAUAUCCGGUGCAUGCGCAGGAAUAUUGAGAGGAUUUCUCCCUAGUACGAGAGGACCGGGAGGAACGCACCUCUGGUGUACCAGUUAUCGUGCCAACGGUAAACGCUGGGUAGCCAUGUGCGGAGUGGAUAACCGCUGAAAGCAUCUAAGUGGGAAGCCCACCUCAAGAUGAGUAUUCCCAUGGGGUAACCCAGUAAGGUCACGGGAAGAACACCCGUUGAUAGGCUCUACGUGGAAGCGCAGUAAUGUGUGAAGCGGAGGAGUACUAAUAGACCGAGGGCUUGAC
rnacentral:rRNA from 1 species